rnacentral:rRNA from 1 species
AUUGAACGCUGGCGGCAGGCCUAACACACGCAAGUCGCACGAGUGGCGGACGGGUGAGUAAUGUCUGGGAAACUGCCCGAUGGAGGGGGAUCACUACUGGAAACGGUCGCUAAUAACGCAUACCAUCACAUGUGCCCAGAUGGGAUUAGCUUGUUGGUGGGGUAACGGCUCACCAAGGCUACGAUCCCUAGCUGGUCUGAGAGGAAGACCCGCCAAUGGGGAACUGAAACCCGGGCCAGAAUCCGACGUGAGGCAGCAUGGGUGAAUAUUGCACAAAGGGCGCAAGCCUGAUGCAGCCAAGCGGGGGGAAUGAAGAAGGCCUGCGGGUUGUAAAGUACUUUCAGCGGGGAGGCGUUACCCGCAGAAGAAGCACCGGCGAAUUCCGAGCCAGCAGCCGCGGUAAUC